GUGCUCACGUUGGUGGCACAUAUACCAAAAUUGGAAUGAUACAGAGGAGAUUAGCAUGGCCCUGCACAAGGCUGACACGCAAAUUCAUGAAGUGUUCCAUAUUUUG